GAUGAACGCUGGCGGCGUGCCUAAUACAUGCAAGUCGAGCGAACAGACGAGGAGCUUGCUCCUCUGACGUUAGCGGCGGACGGGUGAGUAACACGUGGAUAACCUGCCUAUAAGACUGGGAUAACUUCGGGAAACCGGAGCUAAUACCGGAUAAUAUAUUGAACCGCAUGGUUCAAUAGUGAAAGACGGUUUUGCUGUCACUUAUAGAUGGAUCCGCGCCGCAUUAGGUAGUUGGUAAGGUAACGGCUUAUCAAGGCGACGAUGCGUAGCCGACCUGAGAGGGUGAUCGCCCACACUGGAACUGAAACACGGUCCAGACUCCUACGGGAGGCAGCAGUCGGGAAUCUUCCGCAAUGGGCGAAAGCUUGACGGAGCAACGCCGAGUGAGUGAUGAAGGUCUUCGGAUCGUAAAACUCUGUUAUUAGGGAAGAACAAAUGUGUAAGUAACUAUGCACGUCUUGACGGUACCUAAUCAGAAAGCCACGGCUAACUACGUG
rnacentral:rRNA from 1 species